AUACGGAGGGUUCAAACGUUGCUCGGAAUCAUUGGGCGUAAAGCGCACGUAGGCGGUUCGGUAAGUCGGAUGUGAAAGGCCUAGGCUUAACCAAGGAAGUGCAUUCGAAACUGCCAAACUUGAGUAUGGGAGAGGGUUGCGGAAUUCUCGGUGAAGAGGUGAAAUUCGUAGAUAUCGGGAGGAACACCAGUGGCGAAGGCGGCAACCUGGACCAAUACUGACGCUGAGGUGCGAAAGCGUGGGUAGCAAACAGGAUUAGAUACCCUAGUAGUCC
rnacentral:rRNA from 1 species